rnacentral:rRNA from 1 species
UGAACGCUGGCGGCAGGCCUAACACAUGCAAGUCGAGCGAGAAAGCACUUCGGUGUGAGUAUAGCGGCGGACGGGUGAGUAACGCGUAGGAAUCUACCUAGUAGUGGGGGACAACCUGGUGAAAACCAGGCUAAUACCGCAUACGCCCUAAGGGGGAAAGGGGGCUCUUUGAGCUCUUGCUAUUAGAUGAGCCUGCGUAAGAUUAGCUAGUUGGUGGGGUAAUGGCCUACCAAGGCGACGAUCUUUAGCUGGUCUGAGAGGAUGAUCAGCCACACUGGAACUGAGACACGGUCCAGACUCCUACGGGAGGCAGCAGUGGGGAAUAUUGCACAAUGGGCGAAAGCCUGAUGCAGCCAUGCCGCGUGUGUGAAGAAGGCUCUAGGGUUGUAAAGCACUUUCAGUGGGGAGGAAAAGUUGGUAGUUAAUACCUGCCAACCGUGACGUUACCCACAGAAGAAGCACCGGCUAACUCC